GUGGGUAGUUUGACUGGGGCGGUCUCCUCCUAAAGAGUAACGGAGGAGCACGAAGGUUGGCUAAUCCUGGUCGGACAUCAGGAGGUUAGUGCAAUGGCAUAAGCCAGCUUGACUGCGAGCGUGACGGCGCGAGCAGGUGCGAAAGCAGGUCAUAGUGAUCCGGUGGUUCUGAAUGGAAGGGCCAUCGCUCAACGGAUAAAAGGUACUCCGGGGAUAACAGGCUGAUACCGCCCAAGAGUUCAUAUCGACGGCGGUGUUUGGCACCUCGAUGUCGGCUCAUCACAUCCUGGGGCUGAAGUAGGUCCCAAGGGUAUGGCUGUUCGCCAUUUAAAGUGGUACGCGAGCUGGGUUUAGAACGUCGUGAGACAGUUCGGUCCCUAUCUGCCGUGGGCGCUGGAGAACUGAGGGGGGCUGCUCCUAGUACGAGAGGACCGGAGUGGACGCAUCACUGGUGUUCGGGUUGUCAUGCCAAUGGCACUGCCCGGUAGCUAAAUGCGGAAGAGAUAAGUGCUGAAAGCAUCUAAGCACGAAACUUGCCCCGAGAUGAGUUCUCCCUGACUCCUUGAGAGUCCUGAAGGAACGUUGAAGACGACGACGUUGAUA
rnacentral:rRNA from 1 species